rnacentral:tRNA from 1 species
ACUGAAACAGCUCAGUUGGGAGAGCGUUAGACUAUAGAUCGGAAAGUCCUUGGUUCGAUCGCGGAUUCCUUUU